AUUGAAUGAUCUAUGCACUCAAUGCUACAAUCAUGAACAAAAACACAGUCAACGUUCUGCUGAAAAUGGACAAGCAUGGGAACACAGCUGCGAGGAGUGUGGAUGUGAGCUAUGUGUAAGCUUUGAGGAGCACAAAGAAAACGCAAGAAUGGCAAGGGAAUCGUUACGGAAAGACACGCAAAGAAUGCAAACAUCCCCAAACAAGGUAGUCCUUGUGACAGUAGACAUGCAAAAAGCGAUACCCAUGCCUCAAAGACUAUUAAAAUUAGACUAUUGGAAUGACUGCGAGACGAAGGACUUGAUUGCCAUUUGGUCGGAGGACAAUAUCCAGGCACAAUUUGAAGGUUGCACUCGAAACCUACCUGUCUAUUGGGAUAUAUCAGCUGAAAUGUUAAAGAAGGGGCAUGAAAAAUCAGCACCAGCUUGUCAGACAAAGAUCAAGAAACUUUGGGCUGCGUACAAGAGUGCAUCCAACAAAAUGAAAAGAAGUGGAUCUGGCAGAGUGGUCUGCCCACAUUAUGAUUUAUUGGAUGCAGUUCUGGGAAACCGUCCAGAAGUAACACCAGUUGUGAACUCCCAUCUUGGAGUAGAGGAGGUUGAGGAGAAUGAAGAAGAGGGAGAAGAUGAAGGAGAUGAUGGAAUUCUACCAGGCUCUUCACAGGCUGAAGACAUGGAUCAAUCAUAAGACAGUGGUACUUUGGAGAUGUUGCCCAGCAAUUCUCACAGAAGCUUCAGAAAUGCUCCCAACCCUGAUGGACACUCCCGAGAGUUGGACCAAUCAUCCAGCGAUAGUGUGACAGAGAUCUCAGCCAACAAGACCGACACUUACACCAGAAGCGUGCCUAAGCUUGAUGGACACUCCCAAGGUCAGUGAGCUAUGUGUUAAAAAAAAUGUCAUUAACACAAGACUGAAAGCUUUAUUGUGAUCUAGACAUACUGAUAUGGUGUUAUAAAAAGUACAUAUAUGUAAUAUAAAAUACUUCUAAUGGCAAUUGCUGUCCCAAAGGUUACCAGGUUGUGUGGAGUUAUGUUCACUUUAUAUUCUGUCCAAUCUAUAGUAGGGCUGUAGAGGAUGACAUGCUGCUUUUCAUUUCACAAUUAAAGUCGAAGGCCAUUCCAGAA